UGCAGCCCUCCCAAGCUCUUUUUUGCUGACAGAGGGUUGCAGGAGGCUGUCACAGCCAAAAAUGGAGCUCAGGAGCCUAUUUUCUCUGGCACAGCAUUUGGGCCACCAUAGGUGCUCCCGACAUAA
ensembl:snoRNA small nucleolar RNA SNORA5